CAGCAGCCGCGGUAAUACGAAGGGGGCUAGCGUUGUUCGGAUUUACUGGGCGUAAAGGGCGCGUAGGCGGACUGAUAAGUCAGGGGUGAAAUCCCAAGGCUCAACCUUGGAACUGCCUUUGAUACUGUUUGUCUUGAGUUCGAGAGAGGUAAGUGGAACUGCGAGUGUAGAGGUGAAAUUCGUAGAUAUUCGCAAGAACACCAGUGGCGAAGGCGGCUUACUGGCUCGAAACUGACGCUGAGGCGCGAAAGCGUGGGGAGCAAACAGGAUUAGAUACCCGAGUAGUCCCUGUCUCUUAUAC
rnacentral:rRNA from 1 species